GACGAACCGAGCGAACGUUAUUCGGAAUAACUGGGCUUAAAGGGUGCGUAGGCGGGCUGUCAAGUCUGGGGUGAAAUCCGGCAGCUUAACUGUCGAACUGCCUUAGAUACUGAUGGCCUCGAGGAAGGUAGGGGCAUGCGGAACUGUAGGUGGAGCGGUGAAAUGCGUUGAUAUCUACAGGAACUCCGGUGGCGAAGGCGGGUCUCUGGGCCGAUACUGACGCUGAGGAGCGAAAGCGUGGGGAGCGAACAGG
rnacentral:rRNA from 1 species